rnacentral:rRNA from 1 species
UGGGGAAUAUUGCACAAUGGAGGGAACUCUGAUGCAGCGACGCCGCGUGAGUGAUGAAGGAAUUCGUUUCGUAAAACUCUGUUCUAUGGGAAGAAAAGGACUGUACCAUAGGAGAAAGCUCCGGCUAAAUACGUGCCAGCAGCCGCGGUAAUACGUAUGGAGCGAGCGUUGUCCGGAAUUAUUGGGCGUAAAGGGUGCGCAGGCGGCUUUACAAGUUGGAUGUGAAAUAUUGUGGGUCAACCACAAACGUGCAUCCAAAACUGCAAAGCUUGAGUUAAGGAGAGGUAAGUGGAAGUCCUGGGGUAGCGGGGGAAUGCGUAGAUAUCAGGAGGAAUACCGGUGGCGAAGGCGACUUACUGGACUUAAACUGACGCUCAGGCACGAAAGCGUGGGGAGCAAACAGG